UCUGGUUGAUCCUGCCAGUAGUUAUAUGCUUGUCUCAAAGAUUAAGCCAUGCAUGUCUAAGUUACACACGAAUUAAAGUGAAACCGCAAAAGGCUCAUUAUAUCAGUUAUGGUUCCUUAGAUGUAACAGUUACUUGGAUAACUGUGGUAAUUCUAGAGCUAAUACAUGCAAUUAAAACAUGAACCUUAUGGGACAUGUGCUUUUAUUAGGCUAAAACCAAGCGAUCGCAAGAUCGUUAUAUUGGUUGAACUCUAGAUAACAUGCAGAUCGUAUGUCUUGUACCGACGACAGAUCUUUCAAAUGUCUGCCCUAUCAACUUUUGAUGGUAGUAUCUAGGACUACCAUGGUUGCAACGGGUAACGGGGAAUCAGGGUUCGAUUCCGGAGAGGGAGCCUGAGAAACGGCUACCACAUCUAAGGAAGGCAGCAGGCGCGUAAAUUACCACUCCCAGCUCGGGGAGGUAGUGACGAAAAAAUAACAAUACAGGACUUCAUAUCCGAGGCCCUGUAAUUGGAAUGAGUACACUUUAAAUCCUUUAACAAGGACCAAUUGGAGGGCAAGUCUGGUGCCAGCAGCCGCGGUAAUUCCAGCUCCAAUGCGUAUAUUAAAGUUGUUGCGGUUAAAACGUUCGUAGUUGAACUUGUGCUUCAUACGGGUAGUACAACUUACAAUUGUGUUAGUACAUACCUUUAUGUAUGUAAGCGUAUUACCGGUGGAGUUCUUAUAUGUGAUUAAAUACUUGUAUUUUUUCAUAUGUUCCUCCUAUUUAAAAACCUGCAUUAGUGCUCUUAAACGAGUGUUAUUGUGGGCCGGUACUAUUACUUUGAACAAAUUAGAGUGCUUAAAGCAGGCUUCAAAUGCCUGAAUAUUCUGGCAUGGGAUAAUGAAAUAAGACCUCUUUCUGCUUUCAUUGGUUUUCAGAUCAAGAGGUAAUGAUUAAUAGAAGCAGUUUGGGGGCAUUAGUAUUACGACGCGACGAGAGGUGAAAUUCUUGGACCGUCGUAAGACUAACUUAAGCGAAAGCAUUUGCCAAAGAUGUUUUCAUUAAUCAAGAACGAAAGUUA
rnacentral:rRNA from 1 species